CUUCCCGCCACUUCCCGGCUCACGAGUGGGCCGACCUCAGGUCGGGGGAGGUGGGGGCGUGCUCGGGACGGUGAAGAAACUUCCGGAAGCACUGGAAGGAGAGAGGGGCUUCGGCCUGCCGGCUCCCUCCGCUGCACGCACUCGCCCUGGGGCGGACAUGGAAACACCCAGCGACCAGCCGAGCCUUGUGCCUCCCGGACUGGGAGAUGAAACCGGGGGAAAUAACCUGCGACCGCCGCCUGGUGAAGUCACAGAGACAGGCCGCCCCCAGGUCAGCGUCAGCGCGGACUCCCGAGAGACGUGCAGCCCCUGCUGCUCCCCCGACCUCCGGUCCACCUGCAGGCCCUGGGAAUCUGCUCCUGAUAGCCCGAACUUUAGAUGUUAUUUUAAUGAUUUCCAAAAGAACAAACUAGGCUUCCCUUUUCAAAUCUUUGAACCAAACUCUCUCUUUUGGCAGCUUUUGACAGAAAAUAAUAAUUUACUUUUAGUCUCUGUGGGGACAAAUGAGUAGGAGACUGUUUCCACCCGGGGAAGGCAAUGGAAUCGUAUUGUUUAGCCUGAAGUAGCUAAUUGCACUCAUUGGAAGUUAGCUGUCAUACCUGGAAUACUUGAAAUCGAUGCACAUUUUAGCAGCACAAACUGCCACCAGGCUUCUUGUGGCUGAGAGGCUGCAGAGAGAAUGGAUUCACCCCACACCUACCUAGAGGCAGCUGUUUUAACACUCUUGGCUCACAUCUGUCGUCUUAUUCCAUGAACAAGCAAGGAGGAUUUUAAAUUAGCCCAUCUACCAGGGCAAAAAAUGUGAUGGAUAUAAGUUCCUGUUUUCCUUCAUACUAGAACAGUCCAGAGAACCUAAUACCACGGCUAGCCUCACGAUCCUGCUUCAGCUUCCCAAGCAGCCGGUGCUGAAGGAGAACCUCACUGCACAGCUGGUUCUCAACCCCUGACUCAUCUAUUCAGUGCCUAACAGCUUUGCUUUUACUGCCUUGAAUCUCACCAGAGUCUUUGGUACCAUUUCUUAAAGACUCACCAGCUCCAAGAGGCCAAAGAGCUACACAGUCACUUCCCCAGAGCGAGAUGUAACCCCACUGAGGUCACUCGAGGUCACCUUUUCCAGUUCCACGCACAGUGCGAGAAGGAAGAGACUCCUUCAGGACAAAGAUGGGACUUGAGUUUCCCAGCCUCCCCUCCUCACAGGAGGCAAGACAGCCCUCCUGCCGCCCCACCUUGCUCUCUCCAAGACUCUGUAUGGAACAUAUGGUCAUCUUGGGAUGGCCUCUGGCCAAAACAAACCUAUUCUUCUGCACCUCUUACUGUAUUUCAUGUUGUCUGGUUGCCAGUUAUUUAGGAGCACAGCAGUGACCCCAGUUCCACAGUUUGUCCCCAGCUUCCUUUCCUUGGCUCACUUCCUGCCCAUCUCCUUCACCUUGUCACCUGCGUUGAGCAGAGCCCUGUAUCAGCAGCACCCCUUGCUUGUUCCUUCCUCUGAGUUUUCCUCUGCCUUGCAUGCUUUUUGUCCUCUGGGUCCAUCCACCCCUUGCAAGAAUCCUUGUCCCUCACAUCCGUGGCCAGCUCUCCCCUCAUCAGACAUAUUAGGGUCCCAUUCUCUUUUGCGUCCUCAGUGUAUUUUGGACCUGGAGAGAGUCUGCAGUUUUGUAUCUCCUGAGGCUUCAUGUCUGUUCAUCUUUCUCUUUCUCUUUCUCUGUGUCUCUGUCUCUGUCUCUCUCUCCCUCUCUCUCUCUCUCCCUCUCUCUGUCUGUGUGUACCCAUGCACAUGUGCUCAUGUCUGUGAAGGAUAACCUCAGAUAGCGUUCCCCAAGUGCUGUCCUCCUUUUUUUACAGACAAGGUCUCUCACUGGCCUAGAACUCACCAAUUAGGCUAAACUGAUUGCCAGGCCAGUGAGCCCCAGGAAUCUGCUUGUCUCUGUUUCCUUAGGACUCAGAUUACAAGUAUGUCACAAUAUCUGGCUUUUUUUUUUUUUUAAUGAGGGUUAUGAGGAUCAAACUCAGGUCGUCAUGUUUCCACAACAAGCACUUUACCACAUGAACCUAUCUCAUCAGCCCUCAACCCCCCAAUAUGAAGAUGUGCUCUUCCACAAAACAAAAGAUUUCAAUUUUGAUAACAUCCAGCUCAACAAACUCUCCUCUUAUGCAUCAUGCAUUUUCUCUUCUGCUGUUAAGCCUGAGAAUUGUUCUCCUGCCUGCUGAUUCUCAUAAAAUGUCUCCCAAGACUUUUUCCUAAUGUGCUAUAGUUUUAUGAUUUACAUUUAACUGUGGGAUCCAUUCUGGUUCACUUUUUUUUCUGGUUCAUUUUUAUAUGGAGUAUGGAGUGUAUGCCAAGUUUCAUUUCUUUGCCUGUGAAUAUUUGAUUGCCCUAGUAGCAUUUAUUGAAAAAGCUGCCAUCCUCUAUUGGAUUCUCAUUGUAACUUUGUCAAAAUGUUAUAGAACAUAUUUGUGGGCUACUAUAUGUGGGUUUUCAAGUCAGUUCCACUGAACCAUGUGUCUAGAUGCUUUGAGAGCCUGACAUGUGACUUCUGUUAUAUAAUACCUUUGGUAUAUUGUCUAGCAAACAGUGCCAUCUAACUUUGUGUGUACCACAUAGUAUGUAUGUGGAUGUGUAUAUAUGUA